rnacentral:rRNA from 1 species
GCCUUGGCAAUCAGAGGCGAAGAAGGACGUGCUAAUCUGCGAAAAGCUUGGAUGAGUUGAUAAGAAGCGUUUAAUCCAAGAUAUCCGAAUGGGGAAACCCAGUAGAUGAAGAAUCUACUAUUAUUAAGUGAAUACAUAGCUUAAUAAGGCAAACCGGGAGAACUGAAACAUCUAAGUACCCCGAGGAAAAGAAAUCAACCGAGAUUCUGUAAGUAGCGGCGAGCGAAAGCGGAAGAGCCUGUUAGUGAUAAUGGUUUUGUUAGGAGAAUGAGCUGGGAAGCUCAAUCGUAGAGGGUGAUAAUCCCGUAUCCGAAAACAUUAUUAUGGUACUAAGCUAACGACAAGUAGGGCGGGACACGAGAAAUCCUGUUUGAAGAUGGGGGGACCAUCCUCCAAGGCUAAAUACUCCUGAUUGACCGAUAGUGAACCAGUACUGUGAAGGAAAGGCGAAAAGAACCCCAGUGAGGGGAGUGAAAUAGAACCUGAAACCGUGUACGUACAAGCAGUGGGAGCAAGAGAAAUCUUGUGACUGCGUACCUUUUGUAUAAUGGGUCAGCGACUUAUAUUUUGUAGCGAGGUUAACUGAAUAAGGGAGCCGAAGGGAAACCGAG